rnacentral:rRNA from 1 species
GAGGAAUGGCGGCGUGCUACACAUGCAGUCGAACGAUGAACUUGGAGCUUGCUCUGGGGGAUUAGUGGCGAACGGGUGAGUAACACGUGAGUAACCUGCCCUGGACUCUGGGAUAACUUCGAGAAAUCGGAGCUAAUACCGGAUAGGACCUUGCACCGCAUGGUGUGGGGUGGAAAGUUUUUCGGUUUGGGAUGGACUCGCGGCCUAUCAGCUUGUUGGUGAGGUAAUGGCUCACCAAGGCGUCGACGGGUAGCCGGCCUGAGAGGGUGACCGGCCACACUGGGACUGAGACACGGCCCAGACUCCUACGGGAGGCAGCAGUGGGGAAUAUUGCACAAUGGGCGCAAGCCUGAUGCAGCAACGCCGCGUGCGGGAUGACGGCCUUCGGGUUGUAAACCGCUUUUAGUAGGGAAGAAGCCUUCGGGUGACGGUACCUGCAGAAAAAGGACCGGCUAACUACGUGCCAGCAGCCGCGGUAAUACGUAGGGUCCGAGCGUUGUCCGGAAUUAUUGGGCGUAAAGAGCUCGUAGGCGGUUUGUCGCGUCUGCUGUGAAAACUAGAGGCUCAACCUCUAGCCUGCAGUGGGUACGGGCAGACUUGAGUGGUGUAGGGGAGACUGGAAUUCCUGGUGUAGCGG